GGGAGCAAACAGGAUUAAAUACCCUGGUAUUCCACGCCGUAAACGAUGUCGACUUGUAUGUUGUGCCCUUGAAGCCUGGCUUCCGGAGCUAACGCGUUAAGUCUACCGCCUGGGGAGUACGGCCGCAAGAUUAAAACUCAAAUGAAUUGACGGGGGCCCGCACAAGCGGUGGAGCAUGUGGUUUAAUUCGAUGCAACGCGAAGAACCUUACCUACUCUUGACAUCCAUAUAACUUGGCAGAAAUUCUUUGUUGCCUUCGGGAACUCUGAGACAGGUGCUGCAUGGCUGUCGUCAGCUCGUGUUGUGAAAUGUUGGGUUAAGUCCCGCAACGAGCGCAACCCUUAUCCUUUGUUGCCAGCGGUUAGGACGGGAACUCUAAGGAGACUGCCAGUGAUAAACUGGAGGAAGGUGGGGAUGACGUCAAGUCAUCAUGGCCCUUACGACUAGGGCUACACACGUGCUACAAUGGCGCAUACAAAGAGAAGCGACCUCGCGAG
rnacentral:rRNA from 1 species